CCUACGGGUGGCAGCAGUGGGGAAUAGUGCACAAGGGGGGAAACCCUGAUGCAGCGACGCCGCGUGAGUGAAGAAGUAUUUCGGUAUGUAAAGCUCUAUCAGCAGGGAAGAAAAUGACGGUACCUGAGUAAGAAGCCCCGGCUAACGACGGGCCAGCAGCCGCGGUAAUACGUAGGGGGCAAGCGUUAUCCGGAUUUACCGGGUGUCAAGGGAGCGGAGACGGUGAUGCAAGUCAGAAGUGAAAGCCCGGGGCUCAACUCCGGGACUGCUUUUGAACCUGUGUGACUGGAGUGCAGGAGAGGUAAGCGGAAUUCCUGGUGUAGCGGUGCAUUGCGUAGAUAUCAG
rnacentral:rRNA from 1 species